GAAACUUAGGAUUACAUCAAACCGAAG
rnacentral:tRNA from 1 species